UCCGUGUCGUGAGAUGUGGGUUAAGUCCCGCAACGAGCGCAACCCUUGCCUUUAGUUGCCAGCAGUUCGGCUGGGCACUCUAAAGGGACUGCCGGUGUUAAACCGGAGGAAGGUGGGGAUGACGUCAAGUCCUCAUGGCCUUUAUGACCAGGGCUACACACGUACUACAAUGGCCGAUACAAAGGGCAGCGACACUGCGAGGUGAAGCCAAUCCCGUAAAAAUCGGUCUCAGUCCGGAUUGGAGUCUGCAACUCGACUCCAUGAAGUUGGAAUCGCUAGUAAUCGUGGAUCAGCAUGCCACGGUGAAUACGUUCCCGGGCCUU
rnacentral:rRNA from 1 species